UCCAGGAGGACAGGGAUAUACUGCAUGUUGAAUAACGUAGAUGACGCUAUGUCCAGGAGGACAGGUAUAUACUGCAUGUUGAAUAACGUAGAUGACGCUAUGUCCAGGAGGACAGGGAUAUACUGCAGGUUGAAUAAUGUAGAUGACGCAAUGUCCAGGAGGACAGGGAUAUACUUCAUGUUGAAUAACGUAGAUGAUGCUAUGUCCAGGAGGACAGGGAUAUAUACUGCAUGUUGAAUAACGUAGGUGACGCUAUGUCCAGGAGGACAGGUAUAUACUGCAUGUUGAAUAACGUAGGUGACGCUAUGUCCAGGAGGACAGGGAUAUACUGCAUGUUGAAUAACGUAGAUGACGCUAUGUCCAGGAGGACAGGGAUAUACUGCAUGUUGAAUAACGUAGAUGACGCUAUGUCCAGGAGGACAGGGAUAUACUGCAUGUUGAAUAACGUAGGUGACGCUAUGUCCAGGAGGACAGGUAUAUACUGCAUGUUGAAUAACGUAGGUGACGCUAUGUCCAGGAGGACAGGGAUAUACUGCAGGUUGAAUAACGUAGAUGACGCUAUGUCCAGGAGGACAGGGAUAUAUAUACAUGUUGAAUAACGUAGAUGACGCUAUGUCCAGGAGGACAGGGAUAUACAUGUUGAAUAACGUAGAUUAUGUACUUUUUGUAAAGGGCCUAGUAACAGGAAGGAAAGGCAUUAUUAACACAUUAUUAACAUAUUAUUACAAUUAUUAACAUUUAACAUUUGGAUUAUUUCACAGUAGAUUUUGAUUAAUGAGAGUUGAGUUCGGGAACUGUCCUGAGUUAGCACAUCCCAUGAAGCAGGGCAUUGGGAGGGUAAUGACUCAACUACAUGCCUACUGUAGUUAUACUUUGAGGCUCAAUUGCUGCUUAGCUGCACAGACACUACAUAAUGAUGAGACACUACUAAUCUAGAUAACUAGCAGGCCACAAAACAUAAACAACUGGGACAUGAUUGAGAACUGGAAUCUGCUGUUGUCUAGAUGCUCUGGAGCCUCUGGUAGUGGUGUCUGAACUGCGUAACACAGUGCUCCUCCAGCCGAGCAGUUGAGGACCACAGUGAUCUUAGCCCAGUCCCUGGGUCUGCUUGGGCUGCUGGUUGUUGGGGCUUGGGCUGCUGGGGAUUGGGCUGGGUUGGGGCUGAGAUUGGGGUUGGGGUUGGGACUGGGGAUUGGGCUUGGGCUGCUGGGUUAGGGUUGGGGCUGCUGGGGCUUGGAAUGGGCUGGGGCUUGGGAUGGGACUGCUGGGGCUUGGGCUGGGUUGGGGCUGCUGGGGCUUGGAGUGGGUUGGGGCUGCUGGGGCUUGGAGUGGGUUGGGGCUUGGAAUGGGGCUGCUGGGUUAGGGUUGGGGCUGCUGGGGCUUGGGAUAGGCUG